rnacentral:rRNA from 1 species
CAGCAGUGAGGAAUCUUCCACAAUGGGCGAAAGCCUGAUGGAGCAACGCCGCGUGAAGGAUGAAGGCCUUCGGGUUGUAAACUUCUUUUAUGAGUGAAGAAUAUGACGGUAACUCAUGAAUAAGCACCGGCUAACUACGUGCCAGCAGCCGCGGUCAUACGUAGGGUGCAAGCAUUAUCCGGAGUGACUGGGCGUAAAGAGUUGCGUAGGCGGUUUAAUAAGUGAAUAGUGAAACCUGGUGGCUCAACCAUACAGACUAUUAUUCAAACUGUUAAACUCGAGAAUGGUAGAGGUAACUGGAAUUUCUAGUGUAGGAGUGAAAUCCGUAGAUAUUAGAAGGAACACCGAUGGCGUAGGCAGGUUACUGGGCCAUUUCUGACGCUAAGGCACGAAAGCGUGGGGAGCGAACCGGAUUAGAUACCCGGGUAGUCCACGCCGUAAACGAUGGAUACUAGCUGUUGGAGGUAUCGACCCCUUCAGUAGCGAAGCUAACGCGUUAAGUAUCCCGCCUGUGGAGUACGGCCGCAAGGCUAAAACAUAAAGGAAUUGACGGGGACCCGCACAAGCGGUGGAUUAUGUUCUUUAAUUCGAUGAUAACCGAAGAACCUUACCAGGGCUUGACAUCCAGGGAAGGUCUGCGAAAGUAGACUGUGCCUUUUGGAACCCUGUGACAGGUGAUGCAUGGCCGUCGUCAGCUCGUGUCGUGAGAUGUUAGGUUAAGUCCUUCAACGAGCGCAACCCUUGUGAAUAGUUGUAUUUUUCUAUUCAGACUGCCCCGGUAACGGGGAGGAAGGAGGGGAUGAUGUCAGGUCAGUAUUUCCCUUACGUCCUGGGCUAGAAACACGAUACAAUGGCUAGUACAAUGCGCAGCGAAGCCGCGAGGUGAAGCAAAUCGCAUCAAAGCUAGUCCCAGUUCGGAUUGUAGGCUGAAACUCGCCUGCAUGAAGUCGGAAUCGCUAGUAAUCGCAGAUCAGCAUGCUGCGGUGAAUACGUUCCCGGGUCUUGUACACACCGCCCGUCAAACCAUGAAAGUCACUAACACCCGAAGUCCGAUUCGUCGGCCUAAGGUGGGAGGGAUGAUUGGGGUUAAGUCGUAACAAGGUAUCCGUACCGGAAGGUGCGGAUG